UGCAAGUCGAACGGGGCACCCUUGAAUGAGGUUUCGGCCAAAGGAAAGGAAUGCUUAGUGGCGGACUGGUGAGUAACGCGUGAGGAACCUGCCUUUCAGAGGGGGACAACAGCUGGAAGCGGCUGCUAAUACCGCAUGACGCAUUCGGAUGGCAUCAUCUGAAUGCCAAAGAUUUAUCGCUGAAAGAUGGCCUCGCGUCUGAUUAGAUAGUUGGCGGGGUAACGGCCCACCAAGUCGACGAUCAGUAGCCGGACUGAGAGGUUGACCGGCCACAUUGGGACUGAGAUACGGCCCAGACUCCUACGGGAGGCAGCAGUGGGGAAUAUUGGGCAAUGGGCGCAAGCCUGACCCAGCAACGCCGCGUGAAGGAAGAAGGCUUUCGGGUUGUAAACUUCUUUUAAGAGGGAAGAGCAGAAGACGGUACCUCUUGAAUAAGCCACGGCUAACUACGUGCCAGCAGCCGCGGUAAUACGUAGGUGGCAAGCGUUGUCCGGAUUUACUGGGUGUAAAGGGCGUGCAGCCGGGCAUGCAAGUCAGAUGUGAAAUCUCAGGGCUCAACCCUGAAACUGCAUUUGAAACUGUAUGUCUUGAGUGCCGGAGAGGUAAUCGGAAUUCCUUGUGUAG
rnacentral:rRNA from 1 species